UCCUAUAGGUUGCCUGUUUACUCUGAUGAUAAAGAGCUUCUGCACAGCAAAAGAGUCACCUAUUUUUUAGAGCAACACGGGUCCCUGGAGGACUGGGACCCUGAUUGUUACCUCUGGGUAGUGGGAUAGGGGAUGUGCAAUGAGGAACGGAGUCUUUCAGUCUUGUACUUUGUUCACAUCUUAAUUAUUUUAUUCUUUUUCAAUUAACAUGCUGUAGUUGGCUUGAGUUUUUGUUUUAUUUUGUUUGCUUGUUUUUUUAACAUACACAGAGAUGACAGGCGAGGUUUUAUUUUCAAGGUUCUUCAAAGAAACAAAUCAAUUCUGGAAGGCCAAAUUAACUUGCUGGCCAUCUCCAGUUUGUUAAACUACAGUCAAUAACAGGGGUUGGCAAACCAUGACACACAAGCCAAACCCAGCCUGCCGUUUGUUUUUAUAACUCCUGCAAAUUGAGUGUUUUUUUAUAUUUUUAAUGUCUCUUUUUAAAUAAAGAAAUCUAUCUCAUAAUAUGACAUGUGAAAAUAUGA
rnacentral:lncRNA from 1 species